rnacentral:misc_RNA from 1 species
GAUGAAGAACGUAGCGAAAUGCGAUAAGUAAUGUGAAUUGCAGAAUUCAGUGAAUCAUCGAAUCUUUGAACGCACAUUGCGCCCGCCAGUAUUCUGGCGGGCAUGCCUGUUCAAGCGUCAUUUCAACCAUCAAGCCCCCGGGCUUGUGUUGGGGACCUGCGGCUGCCGCAGGCCCUGAAAAGCAGUGGCGGGCUCGCUGUCACACCGAGCGUAGUAGAUUUUAUCUCGCUCAGGGCGUGCUGCGGGUUCCGGCCGUUAAACCACCUUCAUAACCCAAGGUUGACCUCGGAUCAGGUAGGAAGACCCGCUGAACUUAAGCAUAUCAAUAAGCGGAGGA